CAUAGGUUAAUGAGGCGAACCGGGGGAACUGAAACAUCUAAGUACCCCGAGGAAAAGAAAUCAACCGAGAUUCCCCCAGUAGCGGCGAGCGAACGGGGAGCAGCCCAGAGCCUGAAUCAGUGUGUGUGUUAGUGGAAGCGUCUGGAAAGGCGCGCGAUACAGGGUGACAGCCCCGUACACAAAAAUGCACAUGCUGUGAGCUCGAUGAGUAGGGCGGGACACGUGGUAUCCUGUCUGAAUAUGGGGGGACCAUCCUCCAAGGCUAAAUACUCCUGACUGACCGAUAGUGAACCAGUACCGUGAGGGAAAGGCGAAAAGAACCCCGGCGAGGGGAGUGAAAAAGAACCUGAAACCGUGUACGUACAAGCAGUGGGAGCACAGAGCAAUCUGUGUGACUGCGUACCUUUUGUAUAAUGGGUCAGCGACUUAUAUUCUGUAGCAAGGUUAACCGAAUAGGGGAGCCGAAGGGAAACCGAGUCUUAACUGGGCGUUAAGUUGCAGGGUAUAGACCCGAAACCCGGUGAUCUAGCCAUGGGCAGGUUGAAGGUUGGGUAACACUAACUGGAGGACCGAACCGACUAAUGUUGAAAAAUUAGCGGAUGACUUGUGGCUGGGGGUGAAAGGCCAAUCAAACCGGGAGAUAGCUGGUUCUCCCCGAAAGCUAUUUAGGUAGCGCCUCGUGAAUUCAUCUCCGGGGGUAGAGCACUGUUUCGGCAAGGGGGUCAUCCCGACUUACCAACCCGAUGCAAACUGCGAAUACCGGAGAAUGUUAUCACGGGAGACACACGGCGGGUGCUAACGUCCGUCGUGAAGAGGGAAACAACCCAGACCGCCAGCUAAGGUCCCAAAGUCAUGGUUAAGUGGGAAACGAUGUGGGAAGGCCCAGACAGCCAGGAUGUUGGCUUAGAAGCAGCCAUCAUUUAAAGAAAGCGUAAUAGCUCACUGGUCGAGUCGGCCUGCGCGGAAGAUGUAACGGGGCUAAACCAUGCACCGAAGCUGCGGCAGCGACGCUUAUGCGUUGUUGGGUAGGGGAGCGUUCUGUAAGCCUGCGAAGGUGUGCUGUGAGGCAUGCUGGAGGUAUCAGAAGUGCGAAUGCUGACAUAAGUAACGAUAAAGCGGGUGAAAAGCCCGCUCGCCGGAAGACCAAGGGUUCCUGUCCAACGUUAAUCGGGGCAGGGUGAGUCGACCCCUAAGGCGAGGCCGAAAGGCGUAGUCGAUGGGAAACAGGUUAAUAUUCCUGUACUUGGUGUUACUGCGAAGGGGGGACGGAGAAGGCUAUGUUGGCCGGGCGACGGUUGUCCCGGUUUAAGCGUGUAGGCUGGUUUUCCAGGCAAAUCCGGAAAAUCAAGGCUGAGGCGUGAUGACGAGGCACUACGGUGCUGAAGCAACAAAUGCCCUGCUUCCAGGAAAAGCCUCUAAGCAUCAGGUAACAUCAAAUCGUACCCCAAACCGACACAGGUGGUCAGGUAGAGAAUACCAAGGCGCUUGAGAGAACUCGGGUGAAGGAACUAGGCAAAAUGGUGCCGUAACUUCGGGAGAAGGCACGCUGAUAUGUAGGUGAAGUCCCUCGCGGAUGGAGCUGAAAUCAGUCGAAGAUACCAGCUGGCUGCAACUGUUUAUUAAAAACACAGCACUGUGCAAACACGAAAGUGGACGUAUACGGUGUGACGCCUGCCCGGUGCCGGAAGGUUAAUUGAUGGGGUCAGCGCAAGCGAAGCUCUUGAUCGAAGCCCCGGUAAACGGCGGCCGUAACUAUAACGGUCCUAAGGUAGCGAAAUUCCUUGUCGGGUAAGUUCCGACCUGCACGAAUGGCGUAAUGAUGGCCAGGCUGUCUCCACCCGAGACUCAGUGAAAUUGAACUCGCUGUGAAGAUGCAGUGUACCCGCGGCAAGACGGAAAGACCCCGUGAACCUUUACUAUAGCUUGACACUGAACAUUGAGCCUUGAUGUGUAGGAUAGGUGGGAGGCUUUGAAGUGUGGACGCCAGUCUGCAUGGAGCCGACCUUGAAAUACCACCCUUUAAUGUUUGAUGUUCUAACGUUGACCCGUGAUCCGGGUUGCGGACAGUGUCUGGUGGGUAGUUUGACUGGGGCGGUCUCCUCCUAAAGAGUAACGGAGGAGCACGAAGGUUGGCUAAUCCUGGUCGGACAUCAGGAGGUUAGUGCAAUGGCAUAAGCCAGCUUGACUGCGAGCGUGACGGCGCGAGCAGGUGCGAAAGCAGGUCAUAGUGAUCCGGUGGUUCUGAAUGGAAGGGCCAUCGCUCAACGGAUAAAAGGUACUCCGGGGAUAACAGGCUGAUACCGCCCAAGAGUUCAUAUCGACGGCG
rnacentral:rRNA from 1 species